rnacentral:rRNA from 1 species
AGAAUGAACGUUGGCGGCGUGGAUUAGGCAUGCAAGUCGAACGGGUUCGGCUUCGGUCGGACCAGUGGCGGAAGGGUGAGUAAGGCGACGGCAACCAACCCCGAGGUUGGGUAUAGCCGCGGGAAACUGCGGGUAAUCCCCAGCGAUGUGAAGACGUCGACAUCGACGUUUCACCAAAGGCGCAAGCCGCCUUGGGACGGGCCGUCGUGGUAUUAAGUAGUUGGCGGGGUAACGGCCCACCAAGCCGAUGAUGCCUACCGGGCGUGCGAGCGUGGCCCGGCACACUGGGACUGAGACACUGCCCAGACUCUUACGGGAGGCUGCAGUCGAGAAUCUUCGGCAAUGGGCGCAAGCCUGACCGAGCGACGCCGCGUGGAGGAUGAAGGCCUUCGGGUUGUAAACUCCUGUCGAGGGGGAGGAAGGGGCAACCGUUGACCGAUCCCUGGAGGAAGCACGGGCUAAGUUCGUGCCAGCAGCCGC